GAGUCAGACAUGACUGAGUGACUUUCACAAGCAGGCAUUUUACAAAGGAGAAAAUCCAAAUGGCUAAAAACAGGUAUGAAAGAGCAAUUUAAUCUCAUUACUAGUCAGGGAAAUGCAAAUUAGCUUACGAUAAACACAAAUGGCUAAAACUCUUUAAACGUUGGUUAAGUGGGUGUUGCAGAGAACAGGGAGCAAUAAGAAUUAAGUACAAGGGGAAAAUAAAUUGUUAUAGACAUUCAUUUUAGCAUUACUUGGUAAAAGUAAAGAUGUAUAUAAUUCGGUGACCCACCAAUUUUAACCUUAAGUAUAUACAUCCAAAGAAAUACAUACACAUGUGAAAUAAGAGAUGAAUUCUAAUAACCACAGCAGCAUCAUUUGUAAUAGCCUCAAACUAGAAACAACCUGUAUGUGCCCUAGACAGGGUAUAUAAAUUAUAGGGUAUCCAUAACAUGGAAUACUAUACAGUGAUGAUAGAGGAUGGAGAUGCAUGCAAUUAAUGGCUGAAUCUUAAAAUCACAAUGCUGACAGAAAGAAUCCUGAUGAUUGCCAUAAAAGAAGAUAUGGCGAUUACCUUGGCAGAGCCUUUACCAGGAAGGGGAACUUGAAUGCUUUCUGAGAUUUUUGUCAAUGUUGUUUCUUGAUCUGUGUGGUGGUGACCUGGAUGUUUGCUCUAUAUGCUAAUAUUAUUUAUAUGUAUUAUUGUUUUAUGUUCUUUAUAGUAUGUGCCUUUUCCACAAUAAAAAUGGUAGAAGAGCAGGUGGAGAAGAUCUGAAAGGCCAGACUUGGAAUAAAACCACUACCAAUACUGAAGAGGAGGAGGCUCCAGGAUGACAUGAUCCUACCUGGAAAGAGAUGUAGCAUUCUGGUGUGCAGGAAGGGGAAGAGGCAGGUAGAAAUAAGCAAUCGUUGAUCCGGUUAAUGCCCAUGAAUCAUGCUUUAUAUACGCUGUACCUCCCUGCCGACCAUGCUCUUCCCACUACCCCUUCACCUAGCUCCUAUCUGUCCCUGAAGAACUCAGCUCAGUGGCCCACUUCUCCAGGAAACUGCAGCCCCUGCUCCCUCCCUCCUAAGAGCUGCUUGCCCCCAAUAGUCAGGGUAACAUGGCACAGCACCUCUCUGCUCUUCACCUGUGGACCAAUCUUUCACCUCUACAGACAAGUGAUCCCUGCAUUUCAGGCUAAGAUCUGGCGCUGAUGGUCAGGGCUAUAGGCUGGACGGGGCAGAACUGAGAAGACACUGGAAGAUUGGAGACAGGCACAGAGCUCUGGACCUUUCCAUGAGAUUCCUCCCUUCAGUGGCCUUCAGGAGGGGGAAGCAGAGAAAUAAAUGAGAUUGCCUCUGAGUUGGGACUCAGCACACGUUUCCAUUCAGUCUUAAACUAGCCUGUUCCACAGAGUUGAGUACAGCAGUUAUUACCAAUCCCACACUACAAACAGGAAGCUCAGACCCUGAGAAAGAAAAUAAACACCUUAUUACAAGGUCAGAGAGGCAGAGCUGGACUGCAAAUACUAGCCUCUGUAGCUCAGGGUCUGACUAUAGACAUGAGGAGAAUACUCAGAAAUAACAAAGUCAUCCUUUGUCAUCCCAGAUGUGGGUAGACACAGACACUGUCCUCAAGUAUGGAAAUGUAUAGGGUUUCCAAGACCUUGUUUUGGGAAAGAACCAAAGGCAGGGAGCCAAGGCAAUGACUAAUCAGCCGCCAGGCAGGAAACUGUUCCUCCAACCCAGACCCCUAGCCCACGAUGGACGUUGGCUAUUGUUCAUCUUUCUGACUCAGGAGAAGCCCCUGAGAAUCAGACAUGCAGGUCAGCAAGUGUGUACGGAGUACCUGCUCGGAGUGCUCAGGAGCUACAGAGUGCUACCAUUGCAAUCUAUGGGGGCCUAUGACAGCGGGCAGGACAGUCAAGAGCCAUGCCAGCCUUAGGCCCAGCACUGUCUGGGCAGGUUCAUUUCUCUUUCUUACUCAUGAAGACAUUCACUGAUUAAGCAUAUGUUUACCAAGGAACCCAUGGGCUGAGAUGUCUUUGGAAACAGUGGUACCCAAUUCUACAUGGCAAUGCUCACCACUUUCUAAACCCCUGACCCAUAUCCUAGUGUGUGUAACGGUGGAUUGCUAUAGAACAGAGACUCCCCAGACACACCUGUCCUUCUUCAGUCCUAUUCUUGGCACUCUCAUCAAGUCUAGAACAGUCCCUGUUCAUCGAGAACUGAACUGAAUGGUCAGACAGUUCAGAGCUCCACCCCCACCAUCAGCUGAGUUAUUUCUGAGAAACUGUGCUCUGAGCUUCUGCCUAAUGGAAGAGAGCUAUAGAGUGACUAGCCUGGUCUUGGGUACCAAGUUUAACGGAAAGGACAUUUUUCCAGACCUCAGGAACCUUCCCAAAGGCAUGGGAACUUGGUGAGGACACCUUCAUGUCUCAGGCUCCCAAAGUCCAACAGGCCUCCCAUACUGCAGGAAACAAGGAGAGAAGUCACCGAAGAGAUCAUGAGCCUCAGCUUACUCCUGAGGCUGCUUUGUCUGCUGACUUGACCAUUUCUGACGGUUCCAGCACCAAAGUUCAAAGGCCUGUGCUGCCCAUAAAGAAGAGGUCCACACAUCCCAAGAGCAACCAAAACCAGCUCACCCAUUUAUUUGACUGAGAACAUUAAGGAAGACAACAAAAUUAAACAAUUUUUAAUAAAAUUCCUAUAGAAAACUCAGUCUCAGGGCAAACAUUCAGUUCUCUUUUCCAUGUCAUUGAGGACUGAGAGCUCCCAAUAGUCUUUGGAGAAUAAGCAGUAGUUUUGCUGGAUGUUGCCAGUACUCAGAAAGAGCCUCCAUUUACACAUUCAAACCAGUAGUUCCUAUUGCACAUAUUAACAUUAUCUGCAAUCUAGCACCCUAAAUAUAUGGUACCUCAACAAAUAAAUUAAAGAGUUCCAUGUGGCAUGAAACAUUUCAAUUUGAACUAAUAUUCUUGAAAAAUCACAUUAUUACAAGUUUUAAUAAAUACAGUAAGAACAGCUGGCAUUUUACUAAAACACUGAAUUUUAGGUCUGGAGUUUAUUCCAUAAAUAGUUUCCUGUUCAUUUUCUUUCUGUCUUGGAUACAUUUGCUCAAGUAUUAUGCUCUAUGAAGUGAACUCUUUCAUAGAUACCAUGUAAAACCUGUAUUAAUAUGUGCCUCAUUAUAGAAGCAGCUGGAAGAACUGGAUCACAUAUUAACUAAAAAGUAACUUAGGAAAAAGCUCUGCUUUUGCAAAACUUUAAAACACAGGCUGAAGAAAAUCAAAAUAAUAUUUUUUUAUAUAGAACCCCCACUAGAAAUUUUAUAAAUAUAUAUGCAGCAUAAAUUAUAUUUGCCUCACCAAGCAGAUUUUCAGCAAUUCUGGCUGGGAUGAUGCUAUCAUGGUAGAUAAAUAUCAACAAAAGAAUUAAUGUUUCCACAGGUUUAAAAGAUUUCUCUUGAAAAACAAUCAUAAUUUCAAAUUAUAUUAUAAUUUGUAGUUUACACAAUUUAAAAAGGGAGGAAAGAAAGCUUUCUUUUAAGCCUCAUUUGGAAAGUAAGAACAGCUACUAGUCCCCAGGUAUGGAUAAGUUGGCUGAGUGAUAACACUUGGUCACAAUAUGAAAAAGAAGUAUUUACAUCUUUCCAGAAAAGUACCAAAUACUUAAAAAAAAAAAAAGACAAAAAAUAACC